rnacentral:rRNA from 1 species
AUUGAACGCUGGCGGCAUGCUUUACACAUGCAAGUCGAACGGUAACAGGCCUUCGGGUGCUGACGAGUGGCGAACGGGUGAGUAAUGCAUCGGAACGUGCCCAGAGGUGGGGGAUAACGCAGCGAAAGCUGUGCUAAUACCGCAUGUGAUCUGAGGAUGAAAGCGGGGGACCAGGCAGCAAUGUUUGGCCUCGCGCCUUUGGAGCGGCCGAUGUCAGAUUAGGUAGUUGGUGGGGUAAAGGCCUACCAAGCCGACGAUCUGUAGCUGGUCUGAGAGGACGACCAGCCACACUGGGACUGAGACACGGCCCAGACUCCUACGGGAGGCAGCAGUGGGGAAUUGUGGACAAUGGGCGCAAGCCUGAUCCAGCAAUGCCGCGUGCGGGAAGAAGGCCUUCGGGUUGUAAACCGCUUUUGUACGGAACGAAAAGGCUCUGGCUAAUACCUGGGGCUGAUGACGGUACCGUAAGAAUAAGCACCGGCUAACUACGUG